GCCCCGGUGGCGCAGUGGUUAAAGCAUUCAGCUGCUAAUGGAAAGGUUGUGGGUUCGAACCCACCAGCCGCU
rnacentral:tRNA from 1 species